GUACACGCUGUGACUAGCAUAUCAAUAAGCGGAGGAAAAGAAACUAACAAGGAUUUCCCCUAGUAACGGCGAGUGAAGCGGGAAGAGCUCAAAUUUGAAAUCUUAAAGGGUUUCCCUUUACGAAUUGUAGUUUAAAGAAGUGUUUUUCUGUUGAGGUUUUGGUAAAAGUUCUUUGGAAUAGGGACAUCAUAGAGGGUGAGAAUCCCGUAUUUGACCUUUACUUUCAACUUUGUGAUACACUUUCAAAGAGUCGGAUUGUUUGGGAAUGCAGUCCAAAAUGGGUGGUAAAUUUCAUCUAAAGCUAAAUAUUGGCGAGAGACCGAUAGCGAACAAGUACCGUGAGGGAAAGAUGUAAAAGAACUUUGAAAAGAGAGUUAAACAGUACGUGAAAUUGUCAAAAGGGAAGCGUUUGACACCAGUGUUGUUUUUCUGAAAAUCAAUUAAAGAACUGUUUAUGCUAAGUUGUUUAGACUUUAUCAGCUAACUGUUUAGUUUUGAGCUUUUCCUUAAUGCACUUUUCAGUUAACAAGUCAACAUCAAUUUCUUUUGCUGUAAAAAAGCUUGAGGAAGGUGGCUUGAGAUUCGUCUUAAGUGUUUAUAGCCUCUUGCCUAUGCAGUCGGAGAGAUUGAGGUCUGCAGCGUAGAUCCUUCGGGGCUAAAUGCAUUUGUGCUAAGUUAUAGCAUUUUAUAGACAACUUGUUGACUAUGAUUUGUCUUGUAGCUUACUCGCUUAUGUUAUUUUACCUACGCUUAGGAUGUUGACGAGACUGUCGAUCUC
rnacentral:rRNA from 1 species